rnacentral:rRNA from 1 species
ACGGAAGGCAGCAGUGGGGAAUAUUGCACAAUGGGGGAAACCCUGAUGCAGCGACGCCGCGUGAGCGAAGAAGUAUCUCGGUAUGUAAAGCUCUAUCAGCAGGGAAGAAAAUGACGGUACCUGACUAAGAAGCACCGGCUAAAUACGUGCCAGCAGCCGCGGUAAUACGUAGGGGGCAAGCGUUAUCCGGAUUUACUGGGUGUAAAGGGAGCGUAGACGGAGCAGCAAGUCUGAUGUGAAAGGCGGGGGCUCAACCCCCGGACUGCAUUGGAAACUGCUGAUCUUGAGUACCGGAGGGGUAAGCGGAAUUCCUAGUGUAGCGGUGAAAUGCGUAGAUAUACGGAGGAACACCAGUGGCGAAGGCGGCCUGCUGGACAUUAACUGACGCUGAGGCGCGAAAGCGUGGGGAGCAAACAGGAUUAGAUACCCUGGUA